rnacentral:rRNA from 1 species
CCUACGGGUGGCAGCAGUGAGGAAUAUUGGUCAAUGGGCGCAAGCCUGAACCAGCCAAGUCGCGUGAAGGAUGAAUGCUCUAUGGGUUGUAAACUUCUUUUAUAAAGGAAUAAAGUGAGGCACGUGUCCCGUUUUGUAUGUACUUUAUGAAUAAGGAUCGGCUAACUCCGUGCCAGCAGCCGCGGUAAUACGGAGGAUCCGAGCGUUAUCCGGAUUUAUUGGGUUUAAAGGGAGCGUAGAGGGUUUGUUAAGUCAGUGGUGAAGGUUUGCGGCUCAACGUUAAAAUUGCCAUUGAAACUGGCAGCCUUGAGUACAGUUGAGGUAGGCGGAAGGCGUGGUGUAGCGGUGAAAUGCUUAGAUAUCACGAAGAACUCCGAUUGCGAAGGCAGCCUACUAAACUGUGACUGACGCUGAUGCUCGAAAGUGUGGGUAUCAAACAGGAUUAGAUACCCUUGUAGUC